AAGGUGAUGUUUAACUUUCGUGUGCUACUGCAGUUUGUAUGAUAAAGGUGCUCUCACAAUGCUCCAUUUGAGAAGUUACAGAUCAUUCAUCUAGCGAUACUGAAGAGCUAAUGGUGAUAUUACAAGUGGACUUUCAGGUAGGAAGCUCAAUAAUUGUAACACCAAACUCUGACAGAAUUACUCAAUUCAUCAGGACCUGGAUAUUCGCAUUGUGUAUUUCCACAAUUUUACUUCUGCACUAUUCUUAGUCUUUCAGAGGGAUCAAAAGGUUGAGUUACAGAUCUAUACAAUGACUGUCCUUCCUCGCUGGCUUCCCCCACCUCUCUCUUUUGGUAGUUUUAUGCAAACACUGACUGGAUCCCUUACCUGGAGGAUAUUUAUGAAUGAAUUUGUUCUAAUGGUGAUCCAGCAUUUUCCCCAAGUAUCGCUCCACACAUGCCCAGAGAAUUUCUCAGUUUCACAAUCUGUGUCCUUCUGGUUUCUUACUCGCUACACUUAACUUUCUGUUUGAAAGUAUAGUCUGCAGUUGGAGAAUUUAAACAGGUCCACAUCCAGGUCUGACGGUCACUUUGUUUAUCACAACCCAAUUAUCUCAGGAUUUUGAACAAUGAAGGAAAAAGCAGCACUCACAUUGGGGAGAAACGCACAUGGUGUGUGUGUUGAAGAGUCUGUGAAGAUUCAUCUGAAAUGUCCGAACACCAGUGCAGUGACACUGGGAGACAGUGUGGAAAUGUGCAGAUUGCAGGAAGGAAUUUCUUCAUCCAUCCCAGCUAGAAACUGACCACCAGAGUCACACUGGAGAGAGACCAUUGACCUGUUCUGCAUGAGGGAAAGGCUUUGCUGAUUCGAAUUCCCCGCUGAUAUACCAGCGAG